UUUUGAAUCCACCGGUGGUUGAUGCCUUCCUCACAUUUUUUUUGGUAAAAUCAAAAAAACAACCUACAAAUGUUCUCUAAACCGAGGGGCGCGACAAUAGUAAGGAAUUAAAUAAAUUAAUUAAUUAAUUGCCAAAAUUAAUUAACGAUGAAUUUAUUUAGUUUACGAUCAAAACAUCGCCACCUCUUUUUACAGCACAUUGGUAAGACCGUUUGACAUCGCGUUUGUUUUUGUUGUGUUGGGUAGAACUGCCGCAAACAAAAAGUUAAACAGAAGAACGGUGGCGCUGGAGAUCAGAAAAAGUAGCUGAUACAGAAGAUGCUGCUGGCCAGAGAAUCUGUCAUCGCCCAGCAACUGGAGGCUAAGAUAAACAACAACCUUCACGCAAAUGCGCAGGCGCACGAGAACUUGCUCGAACUCUUGCGACGAACUCGAGUGGUGGUACUGGGGGUCAAGGGUACUGAUUGCUCAAAAUCAAUCACUCCAUUCGCGAGCGCAAAUAGCAGGCGACGCGAUACUGCCCUGAUGAAUUCCUACCGUUUGUCACAUUCAAUCCAUUCGCUCCCGAACACUCUCUUUUCAACUCUCCUUCUCUCUCUGAUCGGCUCAGUCUCCGAACGGCUCAGGCAGGCCGAACGUCGCCGAUCACUCUGAACUGAACACAUUUUUUCUCUGAUGCGCUGCGUUAUACUCAUUGAUUCGGGUUGCCUAAAAUCAAUGUUAUCAAUUAAAUUGUGCAUUUAUUUUGAUUUCACCAUACAAAGAAACUUCCACAAAGAAAAAAUCAAAUUGAUGGCAAACUGAGGGCGUGAAGACAAAAAGACUGCCGCGCUGGCAUUUUGUGAGAGUGGCUCUUCGCUGAGUAUGUUAGUGUGUGAGUGUCGUCGAGCGGCGGAGUAGGCAAAUAUUUUCACGAUGUAUUUGUUCGCUGAGUGAACAGUUCGGGCCACUCGCUGGAUGGAUGCGAGACUCAUUCGCUUAUGAAUGCUAGCGGGUUGGAAUAGGUGACGAAUGGAUAGGCGAUGAGUGAGUGGUUUCUAUUCAUUGAGCCGAAAAUCAGGACCCUUGCUGGAGGUGGCGGAAGUGGUGCCCAGAGUCAUGACGGUCACGGUGUGGUUGGUGGAGAGCAUCACGGAGGGCCGCACCACCAUUAUCAGGCGUUGCGAGUCGGAGAGGUCAGGGUCUCGGGCACGGACCCGGCGGAUCACAUGGCGUUGCCGGAGCGUUUAUGCUCGAGAACAAACCGCUGUGCCUCGAAGGCACCAGGUUACCGUGGAGCUGCCGUAUCAUCGCCGGUUAGCUCCAAAGCAUCGUGCAACUAGAUGACACCACUUUCGGGAAGUUUGCAUCUUAGUCUGCAGAAGCAGCAGUAGCAACAACCGCAGCUCAGUCUCAACUCAUUGGAGGACCUCCAUUGAGUAGCAGUGGCCAUAUGCAGCCACAGGUGUGACAACAACAACACUAGCAGCAAUCUCAGUUCGGGCCGUACCUGUCGCCAAACGAGCAAAACGUCAUCAUACCUCCACAGCAGUCGGGUACACGUUCGAGCGGGCUAGCCGUACAACACCUCGGAUCUGCUCAAUCCGUGACAUCUUUUGACUCCGUGAAGACCACUAUCACCGGUACGACCAUGAAACCCGGCGGUCCAGCAACAUUUGUUAGACAGUUAGGGCAUCUCCACCGCAGAGAUCUAAUUGCGUGGCAAACCUAUCGGUUGGAUCCCCAGUUUAAGCUUUGCUCCGUAGCUAAUACACGUUUUCGCACCGCUGGGAGCUAAUUUGGCUACCGAAUAAAGCCCACCGCGGGGAUCUAAUUUAUUCAUUUUCAAAUUCUAGCCGUUUUGUUGAUCGAAAUCAAUAAAACUAUAUUCUAGCAUGAUAGAACAUGCUUCCAAUUGCAUUAUAUGUCCAAAUUGUUUGCUUACAUCAAUAAAAUAUCAUUUUCAAAUUUUUGAAAGAGUUCACCCGAUUUGCUCCCGACAUGUUUGAACCCCAACUUUCGCACCGCGGGUAGCAAAGCUAUAGCUAAAUUAGCCUUCGAGUUCAUUCAGCGAAGAAAAAGUUAAUCGGGGAUCCGUCGAGUAGCCAAGAUAGGUGCUCGAGAAGUCCCCGAGCUGCCGGUGGCUAAUUUUUUCAGCGAUUUUUUGAAUUAUUUGUAUUUGUUUUGGUUGAAGUUGCAUUUAUUUUGAAUAUCAAAUUUGAAUGAAUAUUAAAGAAAUCAGUAAAUUAGAUCAAAAAGAUUUUAUUAAAUUGAAAAGUUGUGGAAUUUAUAUAUUUUUUUGUAUUUUUUAAAUAAAAAAUAAUCAACCACAUAUAUUAAUAUAAAAAAAUCAUCACCGAAAAUUUAAACAUGAAUGCCCAAAAUUUAAAAAUAACUAAACUGAUUUGAACAUUUUAAAUUAUGUAUAAAAUAUAUAUCAAGCGAAACAAUGUAAUUGGUCCAAUGUGAGUUUGUAAACAAAGGGUGUAUCUUGCUCACGUCAGUGAGGAGUAAGAAAAAAUUACGAAUACGUUUAUUUUUAUUAUUAUUUUUUUCCAAAAAUCAAAACCAUCCACAUUAACGACCCCCGGGUCUUUUGUGGUCUCUAUUGCAAGUUUCUGCUCGAACCUAGGAGUCCGCCGGCUUGAAUGGGGAGAGCACCCAAACCUCUUUCUACUCCAAGGAACCUUCUACCCCAGUGUUUGAACUGACGACCUUCGGAUUGCGAGUCCAACCGCCGCCAGCGAUUCCACCGGAGUAGGCUUGGUUUGGUGUGUUGUUUCUACUUAUGGCAUGGAGACGACUCCUAAACCUGGAAUGACUUAACGGCGUAACAACCAAGGCCGGGACCGACAUUUUACUUCCUCAUCCGAUGGAAGGUUGCAGCAGAUGGGAAUCCAACCCAGAAUCAUCCGCUUACAAAGCGGACAGCGUAACCAUCCGGCCACGCACUGGCACAUUUUUUUCCAUUUCAUUUAAAAAUAUUUUGAAUGGUUGUAACGUAAAGGCUGAUACGCAGAUCCGAAGGAACGCAAAACUCCAUAUAAAAAAAAACGCCCAAGAAACGGUCAGGGAAAGGGUCACGAAAAGAUUUUUCUUAAGUGGUACGCAGCAUAAACGAAAAGUGGCGUUUGACGUUUCUUCACGCGGUGCUUGUUUGCAAUAUGUUCUGAUGAAAAAAUCGAAGAAUUGGAAUUUUCCUUUUUAAUAAUCUUGUAUUCGAUAUAAUAAUAUUUAAAAUCCCCGCCAAAUCUCAAAAUGCAGAAUUUUGAAAUUAAAAGG